UUCGGGCAUAGUGGCGCACGGGUGCGUAACGCGUGGGAACCUGCCUUUAGGUUCGGAAUAACAGUUAGAAAUGACUGCUAAUACCGGAUAAUGUCUUCGGACCAAAGAUUUAUUGCCUUUAGAUGGGCCCGCGUUGGAUUAGGUAGUUGGUGGGGUAAAGGCCUACCAAGCCGACGAUCCAUAGCUGGUCUGAGAGGAUGAUCAGCCACACUGGGACUGAGACACGGCCCAGACUCC
rnacentral:rRNA from 1 species